GUGGUUUUAGAGGAAGCAGGAAGAUUUAGCCGGGGAAUUGCCCACCUUCGUAUAUCGAGAUUGCGCUGAGCAGGACUGGUGGCUCUCCGUGGGGAGAGGCUAUAGUCUGAUGGCUGCUAGAUGGCAGGUAUUCUUUUCCUUCCUGAGUUCCCUCAGGAUUCAGCAGCUCACCAUAGGCUGUGGCUGUAAUCACUGAUGACUGUGACAUCCUUUGUUUACUGAUAUGGCAGGCAAUAUUCCAUUUAUCAGGCUGGGACCUGGGACACUUUGCUGCAGUGUUUGCACCUGGACAAACGUCUCCUCCAGCAACAAAACACAAAGAAACUACAUGGGACUAAAAAUAACUGUGUGCAUGCACAGUUGGGGCAAAUUAUGGACAACAAGAUACAAAAAGACUAAAACCCAACUGCCACUUCUGAAGAGCCAGGAACAAAAACAGGAGGCAAAAGUAGGGUACCAGUAGCAAAAGCAGGGUAAUGAGCAUGACCCCUGUACACCAUACCCGCAAAGGGGUGGGCAAACCACCUAAACCACCCCUCUGGCCCGACCCCUGGACCCACCCCUACCCUCACCCCACAUAAGGAACCAGCUUGCCUCCCUCCUCAGUGAGCAAGCAAGAGAAACUGUUACUUGUUUUUGCCCCCUUAUGCUGCAGCAGGAGCCCCCAAAAAUCCUUGUCUGAAUUUCUUGUCUAGCCUCAUCAAUAUCUAUUGAUUAAGGAAGGCCAAGAACCCUCGUUGGUAACAACUUGACAGAUUUUUGUCAUAAUUAACCCAAAUGUCACUCCACUCUUUCAGAUUCUCUUGGGAUUCAGAAAAGCAUCUGUUUACCCCUUGCAUCAAUUGUGGGGUCAAAAAAUUGGUGAUAAUAGCAGAAAAAUGCAAAAUUAUAUAACAGAAACUUUUAAAUCCUAUUUAAGGCACAGAAGAGACUAGAACAAAUGAAGAGGCAUACCAUGUGCUUGAAGAAGGCUCAACAUCAUAAAGAAAUCAAUUGUCUAUAAAUUACUUUGUGAAUACAAUAACCAAUAAAAUUACCAACAAAAAAUGCUGGCAUCAGGGAGGGGAACUAGACAGGUUGAUAUAGAAAAGUAAGGUAAAGCAAGUUGUUGUUACCAGUUUGCAUUUGGCCACAUCAAUAGAAAUCCAUGGUUUAAUCAAACAAAGCGUAAUGUAAUAAGGAGCCUAAAGGUAGCUGGUCCAGGAACCAUGUUGUUUCUCCUUUUCUGCUUUGUAACACUUAGUAUGUAACUUAAGUCUUUAUAGUCACAAGGAGUGUGUUCCAUUCUUUCACAUCUGUACAUUGCAUCUAUUAAAAAUAGGAAUAAUGGGGAAGAAUAAAGGGCAAGAAGUGUAUGACACCUAAGCCUACCCCAUUUUUAUUAGAAAAAUUAUGACUUUCCUAAAGCCUGUCCAUUUUCUUCUGUUUAAAUCUUAAUGAACCAGAAGUAGGUUACAUGACCACAACUAACCGUGGAAGAGUCAUGAAGAUUCCAGAACAGUUUUGUUAUAGAAUGACACUCAGCUUAGAUUUGUCUGAGGUUUCUUUGUGGUUAGACUUAGG